rnacentral:rRNA from 1 species
UACGUAGGGUGCAAGCGUUGUCCGGAAUUAUUGGGCGUAAAGGGCGCGUAGGCGGCUCUGCACGUCCGUUGUGAAAUCGCCCGGCUCAACUGGGCGGGGUCAGCGGAUACGGCAGAGCUUGAGCAAGCUAGGGGGCAAUGGAAUUCCCGGUGUAGUGGUGGAAUGCGUAGAUAUCGGGAGGAACACCAGUGGCGAAGGCGGUUGCCUGGGGCUUGCUGACGCUGAUGCGCGAAAGCGUGGGGAGCGAGUCCGG